AGCACUUCUCAAGCUUGGGUCUCCGGAGGUUGGACUCCACCUCCCAUCAUCCCCUGCAACAGCGGGCAACCCACACGGAGAACCCCUGCUCUUUGGGUUACUUUUCCAGGUCUCCAGGCAGUAUUCUUGUGCGGUUCGCGUUGGAGUUUUGAUGGGGCCGAUUCACUUCCUGUUGCUUUGCAGAAUCGGGUGAAGCACCAGCGAGCUCAAUCUUUUCCUCCCCAAAGAACUCUGUGAACUCUGGGUUUGGCUGUGAUUCAUGAUAACCGGUGGAGCUCAAAAGCAGCCUGGAUUUCAUGCUGAGAGACGGAGCUAAGCGGGCCCGCUCUUCCUGUCCGUGGGUGAAGCCCUGUCUGCCUCAGACGACAAGGAACGGAUCAGAGAUAAGAAAAUGCACCCAGCGGGAGGCAACAGGCUUCGGCCGGGCAUCUGAAAUCCAUUUAGGCCCGGAGGAGAAGCCUCGUUGAUUGGGAACAAACCACAGGGCCAACAGGAUCCCCGAGUCUCUGCCGCCUUUCAGUUUCUUUGCCCAUUUCUCCCCGCCGAUGUUUAAAA